AUGCUGCCUGCUAUGGAGGGGUGGUUCAGCUUGUGUUUCGUAGCACUAGGUAUGCCGCUUGCCCUUUGGCUUCUCAAGCUCGCCGGCGGCAAGAACAAGCCACAGAAGCACCAGCUGCCGCCAGGGCCAUGGACUCUCCCGAUCAUCGGUAGCCUCCACCACGUAGUCAGCCUCGUCCCACACCGGAAAAUCACGCAGCUGUGUCGCCGCUAUGGGCCAAUGAUGCACCUCAAGCUAGGCGAGGUGGACGCCGUGGUGGUCUCCAGCGCCGAGGCGGUGGCCCAGGUGAUGAAGACCAACGACCUCACGUUUGCCACCCGGCCGGGCACCCCGACGCAGGACAUCGCCGGCUGUGGCGGCAGGGGCAUCAUCUUUGCUCCCUACGGCGACCACUGGCGCCAGAUGCGCAAGGUCUGCAUUGUGGAGCUGCUCAGCUCCAUGCAGGUCAGGCGCAUGGAGAGCAUCCGGCCAGAGGAGGUGGGCAACCUCCUGGCUGACAUCGCCACCGCCGCGGCAGCCCGCAACAGCAUCAACAUCAGCGAGAAAAUGAUGGAGCUCAGCAACAACGUCGUGUCGCAGGCGGUGUUCGGCGGCAGGUUCACGCAGCAGGACGAGUACAUCCACGAGCUGGACGUGGUGCUCACCCUGCUGGGUGGCUUCUGCCUCGUCGACCUCUUCCCGUCGUCACGGUUGGCGCGGUGGCUCAGCUUUGGCGCGCGGCGCAUGAAGAAGAGCUACGGCCGCAUGCAGCGCAUCAUCGCCGACGUGAUCGAGGAGCGCAAGGCCGCGCGAGCUGCUGGUGAUGGGGCCUCAAGCACCGAUGACGAGGACCUGCUGGACGUGCUGCUCAGGCUACAGAACGAUGAUUCGUUGGGAUUCCCUCUAACCACAAAGAGCAUAUGCGCCGUCUUAUUUGAUAUAUUCUCUGGUGCCACAGAUACCACAGGAACAAUUUUGGAAUGGGCUAUGUCAGAGCUCGUCCGUCAUCCUGAAACAAUGUUUAAGGCUCAACUAGAGAUAAGAAAAGUAUUAGGUCAAGAUCGAACAAUCAUAAAAAAUAGUGACCUUGGAAACCUCCACUACAUGCGAAUGGUCAUUAAGGAGGUUCUUAGGUUGCACCUACCAGCUCCACUAAUCCCACGCAUGGCCAGAAUGGAUUGUAAAAUUAUGGGUUAUGAGCUGCUUAAAGGCACCACUAUAUUAAUUAAUGUCUUUGCAGUUUCUACGGAUCCAAAGUACUGGAAACACCCUAAAGCCUUUUUGCCAGAGAGGUUUGAGAACAACAACUUAGAUUACAAUGGGACACAUUUUGAAUUCACCCCCUUUGGUGCUGGACGAAGGCAAUGUCCUGGGAUGCUAUUCGGCGCAUCAACCUUAGAGAUCACUUUGGCAAACCUGCUCUACCACUUUGAUUGGGUGCUUCCCGGUGGGGCAAGUCCAGAGUCAUUGGAUAUGUCUGAAAAAUUUGGGAUGACUGUAGGUAGAAGUUCUGACCUACAACUGAUAGCUAUUCCACGUGGAUGCAUCAAGGACAUGUAG
rnacentral:rRNA from 1 species